AUUGAACGCUGGCGGCAGGCCUAACACAUGCAAGUCGAACGAGUGGCGGACGGGUGAGUAAUGUCUGGGAAACUGCCUGAUGGAGGGGGAUAACUACUGGAAACGGUAGCUAAUACCGCAUACCAUCGGAUGUGCCCAGAUGGGAUUAGCUCGUGGGUGGGGUAAAGGCUCACCUAGGCGACGAUCCCUCGCUGGUCUGAGAGGAUGACCAGCAACACGGGAACUGAGAGAGGGGCCAGAGUCCUACGGGAGGCAGCAGGGGGGAAUAUUGCACAAUGGGCGCAAGGCUGAUGCAGCCAUGCGGCGUGUACGAAGAAGGGCUUCGGGGGGUAAAGGACUUUCAGCGUGGAGGCGUUACCCGCAGAGGAAGCGCCGGCUAACUCCGUGCCAGCAGCCGCGGUAAUUC
rnacentral:rRNA from 1 species